rnacentral:snoRNA from 1 species
AUUCAUCUAUAAGAGACCUGGAGGAGUUAAUGUCUGCUGCAUGAAAAAGAAGGUCCUCACACUUUCUGUCUGCAUGUGGCAGCCAAGAUUGAGUGGAGGAAUACAGAG